rnacentral:rRNA from 1 species
AGGUGCCUUUUUAUUUUUUGAGGAAUUGGCAUUGGAGACUGCAAGGCUGGAGUCUGGCUUUAGGGGGGUAGAAUUCCACGUGUAGCAGUGAAAUGCGUAGAGAUGUGGAGGAACACCGAUGGCGAAGGCAGCCCCCUGGGUCAAGACUGACGCUCAUGCACGAAAGCGUGGGGAGCAAACAGGAUUAGAUACCCUGGUAGUCCACGCCCUAAACGAUGUCUACUAGUUGUCGGGUCUUAAUUGACUUGGUAACGCAGCUAACGCGUGAAGUAGACCGCCUGGGGAGUACGGUCGCAAGAUUAAAACUCAAAGGAAUUGACGGGGACCCGCACAAGCGGUGGAUGAUGUGGAUUAAUUCGAUGCAACGCGAAAAACCUUACCUACCCUUGACAUGUCAGGAACCUCCGAGAGAUUGGAGGGUGCCCGAAAGGGAACCUGAACACAGGUGCUGCAUGGCUGUCGUCAGCUCGUGUCGUGAGAUGUUGGGUUAAGUCCCGCAACGAGCGCAACCCUUGUCAUUAGUUGCUACAUUCAGUUGAGCACUCUAAUGAGACUGCCGGUGACAAACCGGAGGAAGGUGGGGAUGACGUCAAGUCCUCAUGGCCCUUUAUGGGUAGGGCUUCACACGUCAUACAAUGGUACAUACAGAGGGCCGCCAACCCGCGAGGGGGAGCUAAUCCCAGAAAGUGUAUCGUAGUCCGGAUCGCAGUCUGCACUCGACUGCGUGAAAGUUUGGAAUCGCUAGUAAUCGCGGAAUCAGCAUGCCGCGAUGAUUACGUUUCCCGGUCUUGUUAAACAACGCCCGUCACACCAUGGGAAGCGGUUUACCAGAAGUAGGUAAGCUUUACCGCAAGGAGGCGCUUACACGGUUAGGAUCCUGAACUGGGGUGAAGUCGUAAACCAGUACGCCGGUAAAUAUCUAG